CGGCUCUGCGUUGGAACCAGGCUAUGCUAUGCGUAUCACACGGCCAGAGAGCAGGAUGUGGAACAAAUAAAGAAGAAUGUCAUGAACUGUGUCGCAGUUGGUUUUCUUUUUCUCUACCUCGCAAAGCAGGACCAGUAUGGCAAGUUCUCAAGACCCGUAAAAGAAAUAGUUGAAGAGUUGAAGGUA
rnacentral:lncRNA from 1 species